rnacentral:rRNA from 1 species
CCUACGGGAGGCAGCAGUGGGGAAUAUUGCACAAUGGGGGAAACCCUGAUGCAGCGACGCCGCGUGAGUGAAGAAGUAAUUCGUUAUGGAAAGCUCUAUCAGCAGGGAAGAAAAUGACGGUACCUGAGUAAGAAGCUCCGGAUAACGACGUGACAGCAGCCGCGGUAAUCCGCAGGGGGCAAGCGGUAUCCGGAUGUACUGGGUGUAAAGGGAGCGUAGACGGGAGUGCAAGUCAGGAGUGAAAGGCGGGGGCUCAACCCCCGGACUGCUCUGGAAACUGUACGGCUGGAGUGAGGGAGAGGUAAGUGGAAUUCCUGGUGUAGCGGUGAAAUGCGUAGAUAUUAGGAGGAACCCCAGUGGCGAAGGCAGCUUACUGGACUGUAACUGACGUUGAGGCUCGAAAGCGUGGGGAGCAAACAGGAUUAGAUACCCGGGUAGUC